UUUGGCAUUGGCUUUACGCGCCAUGAUGCCAUUGCCCACCGCAUGCAACAGGUGAGUUUUACCCAAGCCGGUUCCACCAUA
rfam:Serratia sp. DD3 SRDD_contig000047, whole genome shotgun sequence.